rnacentral:rRNA from 1 species
UACGUACCGUCCAAACGUUAUUCGGAAUUACUGGGCUUAAAGGGUACGUAGGCGGCGCUGUCAGUCGGGUGUGAAAUCCCUCGGCCCAACCGAGGAACUGCGCCCGAUACUGCAGUGCUUGAGGGAGACAGAGGUAAGCGGAACUGAUGGUGGAGCGGUGAAAUGCGUUGAUAUCAUCAGGAACACCAGUGGCGAAAGCGGCUUACUGGGUCUCUUCUGACGCUGAGGUACGAAAGCUAGGGGGAGCGAAGGGG